rnacentral:rRNA from 1 species
GUUAUCGUUUAUUUGAUAGUACCUUACUACUUGGAUAACCGUGGUAAUUCUGGAGCUAAUACAUGCUAAAAACCUCGACUUCGGAAGGGGUGUAUUUAUUAGAUAAAAAACCAAUGCCCUUCGGGGCUCCUUGGUGAUUCAUAAUAACUUAACGAAUCGCAUGGCCUUGUGCCGGCGAUGGUUCAUUCAAAUUUCUGCCCUAUCAACUUUCGAUGGUACGGUCUUGGCCUACCAUGGUUUCAACGGGUAACGGGGAAUUAGGGUUCUAUUCCGGAGAGGGAGCCUGAGAAACGGCUACCACAUCCAAGGAAGGCAGCAGGCGCGCAAAUUACCCAAUCCCGACACGGGGAGGUAGUGACAAUAAAUACUGAUACAGGGCUCUUUUGGGUCUUGUAAUUGGAAUGAGUACAAUUUAAAUCCCUUAACGAGGAACAAUUGGAGGGCAAGUCUGGUGCCAGCAGCCGCGGUAAUUCCAGCUCCAAUAGCGUAUAUUAAAGUUGUUGCAGUUAAAAAGCUCGUAGUUGAACCUUGG